AUACGGAGGAUCCGAGCGUUAUCCGGAUUUAUUGGGUUUAAAGGGAGCGUAGGUGGGAUAUUAAGUCAGCUGUGAAAGUUUGGGGCUCAACCUUAAAAUUGCAGUUGAUACUGGUUUCCUUGAGUACGGUACAGGUGGGCGGAAUUCGUGGUGUAGCGGUGAAAUGCUUAGAUAUCACGAAGAACUCCGAUCGCGAAGGCAGCUCACCGGGCCGGAACUGACACUGAUGCUCGAAAGUGCGGGUAUCAAACAGGAUUAGAUACCCUGGUAGUCCGCACAGUAAACGAUGAAUACUCGCUGUUUGCGAUACACUGUAAGCGGCCAAGCGAAAGCGUUAAGUAUUCCACCUGGGGAGUACGCCGGCAACGGUGAAACUCAAAGGAAUUGACGGGG
rnacentral:rRNA from 1 species